GAUGAAGAACGCAGCGAAAUGCGAUAAGUAAUGUGAAUUGCAGAAUUCAGUGAAUCAUCGAAUCUUUGAACGCACAUUGCGCCCGCCAGCAUUCUGGCGGGCAUGCCUGUCCGAGCGUCAUUUCAACCCUCGAACCCCUCCGGGGGGUCGGCGUUGGGGACCUCGGGAGCCCCUAAGACGGGAUCCCGGCCCCGAAAUACAGUGGCGGUCUCGCCGCAGCCUCUCCUGCGCAGUAGUUUGCACAACUCGCACCGGGAGCGCGGCGCGUCCACGUCCGUAAAACACCCAACUUCUGAAAUGUUGACCUCGGAUCAGGUAGGAAUACCCGCUGAACUUAAGCAUAUCAAUAAGCGGAGGA
rnacentral:misc_RNA from 1 species